rnacentral:misc_RNA from 1 species
UCCUGUGUAAGUUGCCUAAAGUGACAAAAAUWGACCACAAAUUAGUCCUAAUUUUUGCCUCUCACCCAUUCGUGGUGUUAGGUUGACGUCGAAGUAUUGCCCAUUCUCCUUGAUUGUUUUGCCCUUUUGCAUUGCAAUUGUGGCCCAUGGGUUGCUACUAGUUCSCUCGGAUGCAGAACUUUUGUAGGGUGCACAGCAUGCUGCUGUUGCUUACCCACAAAGCGUUCAURGCUUAAUGCGCACGACGGYUGUGCCCGCCAUGGUCCCAUCUUUAAUUAGUUUGGRACGAGGCUCAUGCGGUGCCGGCGUCGCGAAGGAAUGCUACCUGGUUGAUCCUGCCAGUAGUCAUAUGCUUGUCUCAA